UACGUAGGCAGCAAGCGUUGUUCGGAGUUACUGGGCGUAAAGGGUGUGUAGGCGGUUGUUUAAGUUUGGUGUGAAAUCUCCCGGCUCAACUGGGAGGGUGCGCCGAAUACUGAAUGACUUGGAGUACGGGAGAGGAAAGUGGAAUUCCUGGUGUAGCGGUGAAAUGCGUAGAUAUCAAGAGGAACACCUGCGGCGAAGGCGGGUUGCUGGGCCGACACUGACGCUGAGGCGCGAAAGCUAGGGGAGCGAACGGG
rnacentral:rRNA from 1 species